GCCUCCGUGGCGCAAUCGGCUAGCGCGUUCGGCUGUUAACCGAAAGGUUGGGUUCGAGCCCACCGGGGCGUG
rnacentral:tRNA from 1 species